CUGACGCAGCCAUGCCGCGUGAUGAGAAGGCCUUCGGGUUGUAAAGUUCUUUCGGUGACGAGGAAGGUUGUUGUGUUAAUAGCGCAACAAAUUGACGUUAAUCACAGAAGAAGCACCGGCUAACUCCGUGCCAGCAGCCGCGGUAAUACGGAGGGUGCGAGCGUUAAUCGGAAUAACUGGGCGUAAAGGGCACGCAGGCGGCUAUUUAAGUGAGGUGUGAAAUCCCCGGGCUUAACCUGGGAAUUGCAUUUCAGACUGGGUAGCUAGAGUACUUUAGGGAGGGGUAGAAUUCCACGUGUAGCGGUGAAAUGCGUAGAGAUGUGGAGGAAUACCGAAGGCGAAGGCAGCCCCUUGGGAAUGUACUGACGCUCAUGUGCGAAAGCGUGGGGAGCAAACA
rnacentral:rRNA from 1 species